rnacentral:rRNA from 1 species
ACGUGCUACAAUGGCGUAAACAGAGGGAAGCGAACCCGCGAGGGGGAGCGAAUCCCAAAAAUAACGUCCCAGUUCGGAUUGUAGUCUGCAACCCGACUACAUGAAGCCGGAAUCGCUAGUAAUCGCGGAUCAGAAUGCCGCGGUGAAUACGUUCCCGGGUCUUGUACACACCGCCCGUCACACCAUGAGAGUCGGGAACACCCGAAGUCCGUAGUCUAACCGCAAGGGGGGCGCGGCCGAAGGUGGGUCCGGUAAUUGGGGUGAAGUCGUAACAAGGUACC